rnacentral:rRNA from 1 species
UACGAAGGGGGCUAGCGUUGCUCGGAAUCACUGGGCGUAAAGGGUGCGUAGGCGGGUCUUUAAGUCAGAGGUGAAAUCCUGGAGCUCAACUCCAGAACUGCCUUUGAUACUGAGGAUCUUGAGUACGGGAGAGGUGAGUGGAACUGCGAGUGUAGAGGUGAAAUCCGUAGAUAUUCGCAAGAACACCAGUGGCGAAGGCGGCUCACUGGCCCGUUACUGACGCUGAGGCACGAAAGCGUGGGGAGCAAACAGG